AUAAGGACUCCCUGCUUCCCUUAGCCAUUAAUACCUGUGCCACUUUUCUUCCCUCUCACGUACUGUGAACAAAUUUGAUUCAAAGACAUUGUAACUGGGGAAGGUCAGUGUGACUUACUAUUAAGUCACCACUACCUCGCGACUAUCUGUAAAGGCAUUUCAGCAUAACCCAAGCAGCUGCAGUUGCUUUUGGAUGCCCGGGGCAAGGAAAAGCCGAAGAGCGGAAGGUUGCUUCUGGGCAUGCGCGGCACAGGCGUACAGAGAGAGAGAGAACCCACACGUGCCUGCUCGCUUCUAUGUCCUUGGUGGAAACUCAUUCCGAAUUUAAAGAAAGCUGGGUGCUCCAGUUAGCUACAUUAUUCCCAAGUUUAAGUUCAGACAUAAUUCUUACUAGAUUGUCCUGACACCAAAACCCUGGGCGAAGGAACGCCUGCGUGCGUGAGCUUGCGUGUCUAGUUGGCUCAAGAAUUCCAUUGAAGUGGAGGCUCCGCCAUUUGACCUUCCCUCUACCCACAGACACUCAGCACCCACAAAGAUGUAUGAGAACUGUCCAGACCAAGAGUUGGAGUUAGGGAACCUCUGGGCUGUAUGAAGUUUCUGCUCUGUGCAGCUCUGAGUUACAGAGGCGCGGAAGAGGCUGAAAAGAUAGAAGAACCAAAUGAAGGGCUUCUACUCUCUCAUUCAGUGAAGACUGACAACCAGACCAUCAUGACUUGCUUUAGAAAGACAACGCAAGGGACCUUGUCCAGGAGAACAGGGAGCACUGUGCUCUGAUUUGGGGGCACAUUGGGAUGAAGAAAUCUCCACAAGUCGUUUCAGGGUCAAGUGGCCUUUUUGGCUUUCCUUCAUGCAACCUGCCCAUGUCAGAUUGUAACAUUCAAUGAAAUAGAGAGAGAAAGGAUUCCCUUAUUAAAGACUAUAAAGUAGUUUCAGAAUAAUGACUAUGUUUCCCAGUCUCCCUAGAUGUGCACAGGUGACUAAUUCUGGCUAAUGGAAUAUGAUUGGAAAUGGCAUGUGCAAUUUCUGGGAAAUGUCUCUAAAGUGCAAGGCACAUCCUUCUUUACUCCUUGUUGGAGUGGCACAAGAUGAAGAAGCUGGCCAAAGUGGAGGAGCAUGGCAGCCCAGCUCUGCAUCCUGCCUAUGCCGGAGAAAACAGACCUUUAUUUUUGCCUAUGCCACUGUUAUUUUGUUUUCUGAUGCUUGCCUCUGAACCUUAAGCGAGAUGCUUAAGCAGGAUGGUCAGUCAAGGCCAAAUCCCCAGGAGCUUUCGUAAGCUAUCCUAGUACCCAGGACUUGGCUUUGCAGGUGGUGGUACUCUGUGAGAGCGAUUUAAAAGACACAGUGACAUGGCCAUCCACGUACUCAAGAUUUCCCUGGCUAUAGCUACAGACUGGAUCUAGGGGAGGAGAGAGGCAAGGGAAUCUAAAAGAAGCAAUCAUUUCUUGCUUGGGCUGUUCAGGAGGACACUGAAAAGGAGGAAAGAGUACCUCCAAGGAAGUGCUACCAUCAGCUCCUGCCUGCACAAGAGUGAGGUGGUCAGCACCCAGAGGGGGAGAUAGGUAGCCUCUGCAGCUAACCAUUGUCAAUGCCAUGUGUCUGGAGUGUUUUCUGCAGAACCAGUUGUUCCUUCCCCUCUGGAUUUCUACACCAGAUCUUAAACUUUAAACAAACAAAUCCUUCUCCACAGAGAUUUCUGAAACACUGUUGCUGUGACAGAGAAGAAAACAUGACGACAAUCAUGGUGCCUGGAUGAAAAUCUCUUAGUUUUGACAGAUUGCAGGCUCCGGGAAGGCAAGAACCAAUUCUUAGACAUCUUUCUAUCCCCAUUCUAUUUUUAUUGGCUAAAUACCUACUGUCUGAAUUAAUAUAUGAGUGGAGAUAUUUGGGGAUAUUCUGCAGGAAAGAAAUGUAGGAAGCCAGUGCACUGCUUACAAACGCUAUUUCAGCUGAAGAAAUGGACUGCAAACUCACAGAAUGAGUUACCUCCAAAUUUAAGGCCACCUCAUGUUCCAAAAUAGCUGCUGGAGUGCCAGUGCUUAGCCACAAGACCAGAGGAAGAGAGAGACACAGCAAGAGAGGGAACACAGCAGGAGGAGUGGGAGAGGAAGAAGCAGGCCUCCCGCCGAGCAGGACGCCCAAUGUGGGGCUCGAUCCCAGGACCCCAGGAUCAUGACCUGAGCCGAAGGCAGACGCCUAAUGACUGAGCCAUCCAGGUGCCCCCAGAGUCAACUUUUUGAAAAGCCAGGUGUUGCUGUGCAGCCUCCUGGAUUCUUAAGGGAAUGAAGAGACCACAAGUAGGCACAGAGAUAGGCAGAGAGAGUCGGGGAAAGCAGGCUCCCCACUGAGCAGAGAGCCCAAUGUGGGGCUCGAUUCCAGGACCCGGAGAUCAUGACCUCUGCCAAAGGCAGAGGUUUAACCCACUGAGCCACCCAGUUUCCUCAGAGUUCAUGGAGAAAGAGAAGCCCUCUGAUGGGAGCCACUGUACAAUUCUACAGAAUACUGCAUUAAUGGAGUUAUUGUGUGGCUAAACCUUGCUCUGAGUCCAGCUUCAGUCUAAAGGAAGAAAAGAACCUGGAUUCCUAGACUGAAAGAUUUUAAAGGAGGAAGACUGACAUAAUGGAGUCUACCAAGAAUAUUAUCCAAUUUUUCCUUUUUAAAAUGUGUUACGUAGAAAAUUUUUUCUUAAGACUUUAAUACUAGGAAAGCUAUACAACUCUCCUCGUGAACUUUUUGCCAUGGCUUUUAGCCACUUAAUAUGUAGUCACAGCUUCCUAUAUCCUUUCAGUGAGUGUACUUGUAUUCUCGUAUUUUCUUUGUACCCAGUUUAUUUCAGUGUUAUUGCCUUCUUUGUUUCUUGUCAUAACCUAACUCAAAAAAAUGUCUUGAAAGAGUCAGGCAGAAGUUAACCAAUACAUUUAUUUUUGAAAAAUGUACUGGUUUAAUUGUUAUCCGUCCUAUGACAGAGUAUGUUCUGACUCACGUGGAAUGACAAGAGGCUAUUAGAAUUAUAAGGCUCUG